GACGAAGGGGGCUAGCGUUGUUCGGAAUUACUGGGCGUAAAGCGAGUGUAGGUGGUUGUCCAAGUUGGAUGUGAAAGCCCUGGGCUCAACCUGGGAAUGGCAUUUGAAACUGGGCAGCUAGAGUGUGAUAGAGGAUGGCGGAAUUCCCGGUGUAGCGGUGAAAUGCGUAGAGAUCGGGAGGAACAUCCGUGGCGAAGGCGGCCAUCUGGAUCAACACUGACGCUGAGGCACGAAAGCGUGGGGAGCAAACAGG
rnacentral:rRNA from 1 species